UCCGUCGACUUUAGAAAUCGUGAGGGUUCAAGUCCCUCUAUCCCCAAUAAACUGUCCCCA
rnacentral:tRNA from 1 species